rnacentral:tRNA from 1 species
GGAGAGGUGGCAGAGUGGUUGAACGCGGCGGUCUUGAAAACCGUUAGACCCCUCGCGGGUCUCGUGAGUUCGAAUCUCACCCUCUCCU